rnacentral:rRNA from 2 species
UACGGAGGGUGCAAGCGUUAUCCGGAUUCACUGGGUUUAAAGGGUGCGUAGGUGGGUCUGUAAGUCCGUGGUGAAAUCUCCGAGCUUAACUUGGAAACUGCCAUGGAUACUAUAGAUCUUGAAUACUGUGGAGGUUAGCGGAAUAUGUCAUGUAGCGGUGAAAUGCUUAGAUAUGACAUAGAACACCAAUUGCGAAGGCAGCUGGCUACACAAAUAUUGACACUGAUGCACGAAAGCGUGGGGAUCAAACAGG